GGUAGCUUCUGCGCGCGCUGCCGGACGAGGCUCCCGCCGCCCAUUGACCCGCGCUCCGCCCCCUAGCCGGGCCGUUCGUUCACCAGACUGUCACUGAGUCCUGCUCUGUGCUUGACACUGCCGAGGCCCUAGAGAUUAAACAGGAAGCUCCAGGUGGGGUGUAGAGCCCACUCUGGGGCUAGACGCAUCCCCGCUCGGCCUCACCAGUAAGUGUGUUGGUUCACUUCUUCUAAGAAGCAGACAUUAGGAUGCGAUUAGCUGUGCAAGACAUUUAUUGGAGGCAAUGCCUGUGAAGCAUAAAAGGAAGGGGAGCUGGAGAAGUCGGGGAGAAUCUUCAGGCAGCCGUGAAUCCUGGUAGCUAAUGUCAGAAGAAAGUGACUCUCUGAGAACCAGCCCUUCUGCGGCCUCUCUUUCCGAAAAUGAGCUGCCGGCACCGCCCGAGCCUCCUGGCUAUGUGUGCACUCUGUCAGAAGAACUGGUCACCAAAGCCAGGGAAGAGCUGCAGGAGAAGCCGGAAUGGAGACUUCGAGAUGUCCAGGCCCUCCGUGACAUGGUGCGGAAGGAGUACCCGAACCUGAGCACCUCUCUCGACGAUGCCUUCCUACUGCGCUUCCUCCGAGCCCGCAAAUUUGAUUAUGACCGGGCCCUGCAGCUCCUCAUUAACUACCACAGCUGCAGGAGAAGCUGGCCCGAAGUCUUCAAUAACCUGAAGCCGUCGGCCUUAAAAGAUGUCCUUGCUUCUGGAUUCCUCACCGUGCUGCCCCACACCGACCCCCGGGGCUGCCAUAUCCUCUGCAUCCGCCCAGACAGAUGGAUACCGAGCAACUAUCCAAUUACGGAAAACAUCCGAGCCAUAUACUUGACCUUAGAAAAACUCAUUCAGUCUGAAGAAACCCAGGUGAAUGGAAUUGUAAUUCUUGCAGACUACAAAGGAGUGAGCUUAUCAAAAGCAUCUCAUUUUGGCCCUUUUAUAGCCAAAAAGGUGAUUGGCAUCCUUCAGGAUGGUUUCCCCAUUCGGAUAAAAGCAGUCCAUGUAGUGAAUGAACCUCGAAUAUUUAAAGGCAUUUUUGCCAUCAUCAAACCAUUUCUGAAGGAGAAAAUUGCAAACAGAUUUUUCCUCCAUGGGUCUGACCUGAAUUCUCUCCACACAAACCUUCCAAGAAGCAUUCUCCCCAAAGAGUACGGGGGCACGGCCGGAGAGCUGGACAUCACUGCCUGGAACGCGGUGCUGCUGGCCUCUGAGGAGGACUUUGUGAGAGAGUUCUGCCCACCUGACCCCGCCUGCGACAACAUCCUGGGCCAGGCCCUGCUGCCCGAGGGGGUGACCUCAGAUGCGCAGUGUGAUGACUCCAUGAGGGCUGUGAAAUCACAGCUGUACUCCUGCUAUUAGCCAGGUCCCUGUGGGUCUCACCAUCUUUAGAUCCUUUCCUUUUUUCCCUGGAGGGGCACAAGGAGAAUCUGAGGUGCCAUGGAUUCGAUCCUGCUCCCUGUAAUUAAACUGCAGCAUGGAGGAAAAGCCUGGAGAGCUCUGAGGGUGAGCCGUGGGGUAAGCCCUUGGUUACUUGAAUUACUCUGUGUAAGACAUGGAAAAUGUCCCCCCGUGAUUCCCAAACAUUUGGAAUCCCAGUUUACAACCAUUAAUCUGGAAGCUGUAUCUGGUUCUUACACAUCUCAAAGCCAGAAGAAUCAGGACUAAAGUCACUUUGAUCCUAUGUCCCAGGAGAAAACCACCUGAUUGGCCAGGCGGCACACUCCCCUGAAACAGUUUGGCCAAGCCUGCAAGGUGGCCACACGUGAGACUCGGGGAGUCUGGCGUCUUUCACAUGAACCCUAACUACAGACCCCUGUUGCUCAUCCGGAAACUUCAAGUUGGAGGUACGGGUCCCAGUUGCCAUCACUGGGUUUGAAAAGCACCUUAACUGAAUCAUACAAGCAUCAAGACAUAAGCAGUACUUCUAGAUCCAAUUCGGGAACCAGAGAUUUCAAGCACCUCUGGGAUUCAUUGGUUGAAUCUUGCAAUAGAAACAAGUUUUCCCAAACCCAUAAGCCUUAGCCUUGGUUCUCAAUAGAAUCAUACGGGGCCCUAGAAGUAUGUGAUUUUACUCGUCCUAAAAUACUAGAAGCCAAGCCUAUGUUGCUAAAAGAAUUCUGGCUUAAGAAUUAAGAGAGCUGGGCUCCAGCCUCAGAUACAUGACUGUGGCCAAGGCAUGGGCUUCUGCAGGCCUCAGCUUUCUCAUCUGUAAAAAGAGGCUGGAUGAAAUGAUGCCCAGGGCCCUUCUGGCUGCUGAGGUUCUGAGAUUUGGUUUAGUUAUUGAAUGUUAGACGUCGGUUUUCUGCAAGAUGACUCUCUAGAUGCAAGUGGUUGCAUCCUGUUUUUUGUGGGCCUUUCCAAGAGGGAUGUGUCUCCAUUUGGCCCUGCCUUUAAAGAAACCAGUAUGCAUAUUCUUGGGACCCAGCGAUACCAACUUCCUUUUCAUAGUGAGGGUUAAAUUUGAAAAGGAUGGCUUUUGUGAGGGCAGGUGAGAUGACCAGGAUCUUGUAUGAAUUCCUUCCAUCCCUGAGACUCUGGCAGUAUUUUGUAACCCUGGCAAUGGGGAAUGGUCAAAGUACUUGGGAUUCUUAAAUUUUGGUCUCUGGAAAUGAAGGCAAGGGCAGGUUAUUGCUGAGUCACUUCUGGAGCCCCUGCCCUCCGAAACCCACCUGAGUUUUUCUCUCUGUGUGGGUGAACAAACUAGUCUGUCCAGACUGAAUGUUAGUUCUGCAUUUCAGCACUUUAGACCCUUCCUAUUGAGAAUUUAGCCUUAGCCCAAGCAUCAAAUUAGGUGGUUCAUCUGGUGGCUUGACCUAUUGCCUCUCAUAUUCAUUCCAUGCAAAUUAUGGUGUUAAAAAGUGACAAGUACUGUGUUGUGUAUAUACCUUCUCCGUGCACUUGUCGACCACCAGGCAAGGUGGACAGCUCAGUUAGGAAGAGAACUGUGCUCUGAAAUUCAAGGGCCAGCCUGUUGUUAAUAAGCUGUUCAUCUUUAUAGCACUUUUUAAAAUAUUUGGAGAAGCUGGUGGUGGGAGAUACUUACCUCAUUAGUGCCAAUUCUGAGGAAAGCCCUUUUCACCAGAGAUGCUAACCCUGGAUCCUCUAGGAACCUGGCUGAACUGGAAGUGCCAAAACGCACAGCAUACCCCUGGGCUGCCUCUAGUUUCAUCUGACAAUGACAGUAUGACCAGCAUUGCUGAACAGAUCUAAGCAGAAUGGCUAAAGUAGAGAGUUCAGAACCCAACUGCCUACAUGGGAGAACUGGUUAGAGGCUUUCUUGGGUUCCAAAGAGGAAAGAAAGAUUAAAAAUCAAAAAAAGGCUAAACAAAUAAAUCACUCAGCCCCACCAAGUUUCCAAGGUUUAAAUUCUGCAUUGCAUUCCUGGCCAAUUGCCUUUUUCUAUGGACAACAUAGAGAUGGCGAAGCUCAGAGAAAUAUCUCAAAGACCAGGAAGGAUGUUGCUCAGGCCUUUCCAGUUGGACCAAGCAGCCGUUUCAUUCAGCUUCUGAAAGGAUCCAGAGCCAAGGUCGGAUGGCCUGGGCAGUGCCUCCCUCCAGGUGAGCCCUCCAGGGAGGGGCACUGGGGCAGCACAGUGCAUUCUGCAGAUGGUGGGCUGGCUGCCUCUGAAGAUCACGUGCAAUGAGAAGACACCAGGGUGGAGAAAGAAGAACGGCGCCAGAUGCACACGGUGGUAGAGAUGAUAUGCAUGUCCUUCCUGGACCUAACAGUUUCUGAGUGCUCAUGUGAGCCGGGCGUUGAUUAAGUGCUUCACAUACAGAAUCUCAUUUAAUCUGCAAGCACACUUAAAGAAGUAGUGGUAUUGCCCUUGUGGGGAAAGUGAGGCAGAGAAAAGUUAAGCAGCUUGCCCAAUGACACACAGCUUCAAGUAGUAGAGCUGGGAUUCAAAGCCAGGCAGUCUGACUGGAGCCCACGAUUUCCUCCUGAUGGUUGGAGCGAGGCUGUGCUCUUAUUGCUAUUAGCCCAUAGACAGAGCAUAGAGGGAAAGAAGGGAGGAAUUUUUUAUAGAGUGAGACAGCGUCAGUCUAAAAAUUGGCUUGUUUUCUAGCUUCUCAGAAAAUAUAAAGUAGAGGUUCUUAACCUCUGAAUCUGAACCCAAGUUUGUAAUGGAACAUUUUUCAAGAACUACAUGUAAGUCAACCCAGACUCCCUGAGGGGUUACUAGGGUGUGGCUUGAUCAACUCUGCUCCCAGGCACGCUUAGCUUUUUCUCUACUCGCCCUGUUCCUUUCUACAGAGGAGCAUGUACUCUGCCCCAGAGGAGACAAAAGCUGGGUCCCCAUGGUGGGUCUGGUGUGUGGCAAUGGGUCAGUUGAAGAAAUACUCUCAUGUAGGAUGUCCACACUUACUGCUGGCUUUUGAUGAUGCAACAGGUAAGUACUUACAUUUGCAACAUACCAGCUCUUCAGGUCAGACUCUCCCUGAGGAGGCUGUGGAACUCAGGCUCGGUCUGUUUCUCACAUUUGGAAAGAUAGAGCUGAUAGCUCCAAUCCUUUCUACCGUAGAGGUGUUAUGAGGAUCAACUGAGGCGCUUUAUAUGCCAUGGGAAUUAUUUUCCAGGUUAUGAGUCAGCACUUUCUGGUUUCUUUUCCAAAAUACCUCUUAGUUUUCUCCAAUGCCCACUGCUCACAUAGUACUGGUUUGGCAGGCCUAUAAACAGUGGCAGCAAAUGUUUCAUGUUACUGCAUUUAGAGCUAGUGAGUAAUAAAUUCCUUUAGUAACAAAAUCCCUUCUGAAGAAAAAAAUUUUCAACCAAAUGCUCACCCUCUUACCUGAUAAGGUAGCAGCCAUUAGGGAUACAGUGAUCUGGUAAGAUACUAGUUACUGUCUUCAGGGAGUUCCUAACUCUUUCCGUUAGUGAUAAGUGGUUUAGAAAGCCAGCUGACUCCCCUACUUGGCUCCAAGCAGUUUCUAGUUUAUAUUGUCUCCUGUAUCCUUAAGUGCCGAGACGAUGGGGUCUAAUUGAAAAAAGAACUGUUAAGCCCUGGGUUUGUUUCUCUGCUUCACCUCUUACUGAGUAACUGUGGGCAAGUCACUUUCUCCAAACCUGAGUUUGACCCGUAAAAGGGGGCGAAUAAUCACUACCUUACAGGGGUGUAGACAAGGUCUGUUCACUGGGACAUGUAGCUAUUUCUGUGAUAGCUAAGUCUUCACCUGGGGAUCUGAGCAUCGUCUGGCUUGAGUCACCCAGCAGUAAUUAGGACACCACUGAGUGGGCUGCCUGAUUUAGGCUCCUAGGUAACAGGAUGGAUGGACCAUUACAAAAGGAGUAAGGAGAUGAACAGCAGCUCCCAGUCAUAAGCAUAAGCCUGGUAUGUGCCACCUAUCUGCAGAGAUCAAAUGCAUGACUCAUGUAACUGAAUACUCACUUUAGCUUGAAUGUAUAAAAAGAAAAUACAAUUAAGCAAGGACUUGUAAUGGACAAAAAAGCUGUCCUGGCCUGAGUUCUGGUUUGGUCCAGAAACAUCUAAAGUGCCAAUAACCAGGUCCUAUUCUCUGGCAGUAUUAUUUGAAUGUCAAGAGAAAGUUUUACUUCCCAACCAACUAAGUACCUUGGAAGACCAAGCUAGAAAGUAAACACCCAGCAUGGGCCACCAAGCUUUCUCCCAGCUGUAACUAAGUAAAAGUGGUGGCCACUGCUGUUGCCUUUGAUGGAUUCCUAGAGCAUACUGCUGACCUCAAAGCCAGGGCUCUCCAUGUGCAAUCCUGGGGGAAAGAGAAGCCUGCUCCUGGUGACGAAACACCAGAUGACUCACCUGGAAUGAGACAGCACCAUGAGGUCUGAUGAUUCAGAACACUGCCCUGCUUUCAAGUACAAUCCUGGGCUUACUCAAAAUGCUGACAUUAUUUAUGC